GAUUACGGCUCAGUAACACGUAAGUAACCUGGCCUCAAGUGGGGAAUAACUACGAGAAAUCGUAGCUAAUACCGCACGUGGUCCUUAGGGUGAAGGCUCUAGGGAGUAAAGCCGAGAGGUGCUUGAGGGGGGGCUUGCGUCCGAUUAGCUAGUUGGUAGGGUAAAAGCCUACCAAGGCGAUGAUCGGUAGCUGGUCUGAGAGGAUGAUCAGCCAGACUGGGACUGAGAAACGGCCCAGACUCCUACGGGAGGCAGCAGUUAGGAAUUUUGGGCAAUGGGCGAAAGCCUGACCCAGCAACGCCGCGUGGGUGAAGAAGGUCUUCGGAUCGUAAAGCCCUUUUCUGUGGGAAGAUGAUGACGGUACCACAGGAAUAAGCAUCGGCUAACUACGUGCCAGCAGCCGCGGUAAUAAU
rnacentral:rRNA from 1 species